rnacentral:rRNA from 1 species
CGCUGGCGGGGGCCUAACACAUGCAAGUCGAACGUCCUGCAUUUCGGUGCAGGGAGUGGCGGACGGGUGAGUAUCACGUGGGUUAUCUACCUUCCGGUGAGGAAUACCGGCGAGAAAUCGCCGACAAUACCGCAUACGUUUCGUGAGAAACAAAGUCGCAAGACGCCGGAGGAGGAGCCUGCGCCCGAUUAGCCAGUUGGUGGGGUAAUGGCCUACCAAAGCUGCGAUCGGUCGCUGGUCUGAGAGGAUGAUCAGCCACACUGGGAUUGAGAACGGCCCAGACUCCUACGGGGGGCAGCAGUGAGGAAUUUUCGUCAAUGGGGGCAACCCUGAACGAGCAACGCCGCGUGCAGGAGGACACUUUUCGGAGCGUAAACUGCUUUUCCCAGGGACGAGUGAGGACGGUACCUGNGGAAGAAGCCCCGGCUAACUACGUGCCAGCAGCCGCGGUAAUACGUANGGGGCGAGCGUUGUCCGGAGUUACUGGGCGUAAAGCGCACGC